UGUAAAUUGUACUUUUGUGUGCAUAUUAAAACGUAUUUGUGUUAAAAAGAAAACUGUGUAUAUCAACCUUGUGGUCCAUGAUUUUAAUGGUAAGGAAACAGUUUUCAAUAGAUAUAAUUCAUGUUAGGACUUUGGUAAAUUCUUAUUUUCGAAAAAACAUAAGAAUUAUACAGCUAUAGCACAUAAUGUGAAAAAUUUUGAUGGUCACCUUAUACUGAAUUAUCUUAUACAUCAAGGGAUAAAACCAGAGAUUAUUGUAAACGGUGGAAAAAUUAUGAUUAUGACAGUCAAAAGUCUUGGAAUAAAAUUAAUUGACAGUUAUAAUUUUAAACCCAUGUCUAUAUCAUUGUUUCCAAAAAUAUUUGGAUUAUAAGAACUGCAGAAAGGUUAUUUCCCACAUCUUUUCAAUAUUAAGUCCAAUCAAGAAUAUCGAGGACCUAUCCCGGAUGCCAGUUUUUACUCUCCCAACAUCAUGUCAGCAUCCAUAAGACAAAAGUUCCUGGAGUGACACUGUCAGCGACGAGAAGAAGAGUACAUCUUUGAUUUCCAAGAAGAGAUGUACAGAAACUGUCGAUCAGACGUAGAUAUACUACAAUGGCGAUGUCUCCAGUUCAGGGAUAAGUUUCUCUUAAUCUGUGAUGUAGACCCGUUUAGAGAUCACACCAUAGUUCUCUGCAUGGACGUACGAGACUCCUUCUAUGGAGGAAGGGUUAAUGCAACACGACUUUUCUAUGAUGCAAAAGACGUUGAAAAAGUCAAGAAAUUUCAGGAUGGCCCACACACUGUGUUACAUCAGAGGCAAAACAAGGAUAUGUUCAAUGAUAUGCUGAAAAGGAAGGAGUGCAGCCGACCUCUGAAAACAGAAUUGAAUCCAGGCAGAAGAUGGACCUAACGAUCCUCCUUUAGGAGAUUACCUUGGAGAAUUUACAGAUGAGCUGGAUGGACACUGUAUAACAUCGUGGGUCAGUGGUGGUCAAAAAUACUUUCUAUAGCACUUACUCAUCCCAAGAAGAUCUGCAGAAACUUGAAGACUGAGACAAUUUACAACAAAGAAGAAAAGAAUAAUUAUCAUACUGUUUACACUAAACGACACAUCCUUCCAGACUUUGACAACCUUCAAUAUGGAUAUUGAUUUUCGCAUCACAUGGAACUAACUCCUUUCCAUGGUCUAUGAUCCAAAAAGAGGGCAUGUGCAGGGCCUUGAGGGUGGUUCUCAAGUAUGGUCAAACAUGAAUUAUAUAAGACAGUUAGGGUCCCACUUACCAGGCACGCCGCCGGAGGGCCCACAUCCAUGUCGAUCUCAGGCAGUGGGGAUGGGGGGAGAUAGAGACGAUGACGUCAUAAUUCUACGAAUUGUCACCUGUGCAACUGGGGAGGGGUGGAAAUGAUGAUGUCACCAGAGAGGAUGACGUCCAUGAAGUGGCACCAGAGAGCACGUUGUUAGGGAUGCAUUGCUAAAUCGCCAUGACAAAUGGACAUGUCACCAGAGACGAUGACGUCCAAGAAGUGGCACCAGAUGGCGCGUUGCUAGGCCGCCAUGAUAGAUGGACAUAAUGUCAUAGUUCUACGAAGUGGAACCACAAUCAUGAUGAGAUCAUCAUACA
rnacentral:misc_RNA from 1 species